CUAACACAUGCAAGUCGAAUCGGUAACAGGAAACAGCUUGCUGUUUCGCUGACGAGUGGCGGACGGGUGAGUAAUGUCUGGGAAACUGCCUGAUGGAGGGGGAUAACUACUGGAAACGGUAGCUAUACCGCAUAACGUCGCAAGACCAAAGAGGGGGACCUUCGGGCCUCUUGCCAUCAGAUGUGCCCAGAUGGGAUUAGCUAGUAGGUGGGGUAACGGCUCACCUAGGCGACGAUCCCUAGCUGGUCUGAGAGGAUGACCAGCCACACUGGAACUGAGACACGGUCCAGACUCCUACGGGAGGCAGCAGUGGGGAAUAUUGCACAAUGGGCGCAAGCCUGAUGCAGCCAUGCCGCGUGUAUGAAGAAGGCCUUCGGGUUGUAAAGUACUUUCAGCGGGGAGGAAGGGAGUAAAGUUAAUACCUUUGCUCAUUGACGUUACCCGCAGAAGAAGCACCGGCUAACUCCGUGCCAGCAGCCGCGGUAAUACGGAGGGUGCAAGCGUUAAUCGGAAUUACUGGGCGUAAAGCGCACGCAGGCGGUUUGUUAAGUCAGAUGUGAAAUCCCCGGGCUCAACCUGGGAACUGCAUCUGAUACUGGCAAGCUUGAGUCUCGUAGAGGGGGGUAGAAUUCCAGGUGUAGCGGUGAAAUGCGUAGAGAUCUGGA
rnacentral:rRNA from 1 species